rnacentral:lncRNA from 1 species
AAAAGGUGUUCUGAACUCCCAACACAAACAAAGAUUUCGCUCAACUUGGAGAUCACACGUAAGCAGCCUUCAAUCACGCGCAUCGCGCAAGCAAGAUUCUGCGUUACCGAUAGACUGAACUUGAUAUCCCAGAGUUGGUUCUUACAAGAGACAAUUCACAGAUUAAAAACAUCAGCUAGCACAAGUCAUAGAUAAUCAGCUAGCAGAGGUCACAGAUAAUCAGCUAGCAGAGGUCACAGAUAAUCAGCUAGCAGAGGUCACAGAUAAUCAGCUAGCACAAGCCACAGAUAAGCAGCUAGCACAGGCAACGGAUAAUCAGCUAGUACAGGUCCAUAAGUUUCCACAUGUUUCUUGCAAUCCUCUUAUCCUACUCCACGGAAUCAGCAGGUACCUAGUUUAACCAACCGGCUGCGAUCGAUCUCGAGCUCCAACCAUAAUCAAUAUCCCGGAGUUCGUCAUCACAACAAACAAUUCACAGAUUAAAAUCAUCAGCCAGUAAGACAAGGCCAGCUAAUCAGCUGAUUUGAAAAGAAAAAAAAAAUCACAGACAUCAAGCAGUAUUCACAUG